UCCCGUUUUGAGCGGAAUCGCUGGGAGAGAGGUUUCGCCCCGUUUGAGAGUGACCCCCGAUCGCUGGGGCAUGGCGUCAGCUCUGGGCGGGGGAGAGAACCGGCCCGGCCCGGGGGUCAGCGCAGCAGCGGAGCCGGGGAACACGGAGGGGGAGGCCUUCAGCAGCGCCCCAGGACGCGCGGCUGCCGCCCAGAGCCCCCGCCCCAGCCGCCUUGCUUCCCCCUCGGGCUGCUCCGUGCCCCGCUCAGCGCUCCCGGCCCCACCUUCCUGCUCAACACCAGCUGAAAGGCUGUUCUGGCACAUACAUGCCCUCACAGGGACACAAUUGCUCGAGGAAAACAUUUCCCCUUCUUUUUCCUGGCACGGCUCUAGGCAGUUUCCUGAGCGGAGUAGUGACGAAAGGCAGAGGCUGUGGCCACUCGGGCAGUGACGGCGGGACGCCCUUCGCCUCGGCUUUGCGACCUCCAAGUGGGACAUCCUUCAUCCUUCACCUUCCCGACGGCAGAGCUACAGCAGCUCAUCCUGGGAACGCUGUCCAGGCUGCAGGACCAGCCUCACGGAGCCACUCGGGAGCCCAAGGGUAUCCUGCUGCCCUGGUGGCCCCCUCCUCGUGACCCCAUACAACCUAUGCACACUUGUGUCCCAUCACUGGACUGACACCUUUGGUUGUUGUUGGACAAACCCUGGAAGGGAAACUGCCGACUCCCUCCCCGCCUCUGUGAUGUGCAGGGAAGUGGCUCUGCUCAUCACACAUUUCUCUCUGUGCUGUGCUCCUCACGACAGGUCUGCCCUACUUCCCUGGAGGAGUGUUUAUCCAGCUAAAGGAUUAGUGUAUCUGCAGUAUCACAGAGGGAGCAGCAUCAAGACUGAGACAAUGGACCCCAGUGAAAUGCCUUGGUGGGUGAUGUGAGAGUCUGUCCGAAUUUUCCCUCAUCUGCCUCACGACCGUCAUUUGGGGACCACUGAAGAGAAGACCCCCUGUCUAAAAUCUCUGGCUCCAUAGGAGAAAGUCACAUCCCAUAAGACCUGAGACCUGAGAGCAUUGGUAAGUUAUUGUUUUCACAGGUGUAUUUACUAUAUGCUACACUGAAACCAAUGAGAAGAAGAAGGGGGCACUGUGCCCUUUUUGCAACAAUAGCCUUGGAAGCUGUCCCACCUCUCGGCCUGGCUGGACUUCUCCUGAGUUCUGGGUGGUCCCCUGCAGAAGACCCCUCUCACUCGUUUGCAACCACCAUGACAGACAGACUGAGAUGUAAGGAGCCUUUCCCUCAAAGACCAAGACAUGAAACCCCCCUGUGAAAAGGCCCCUCUGCUCCUUCCAAGGACCGGGACUGAAACCCCCAACCCGGGGGUGGUGUGUGGGGGGAGGCAAGCUGACCAGAGCGAGAUGGAUGUUGCAGGUGUGAGCAUUGGACCACGAAGACAAUGGCUCUCACCUACCGCUGAGAACGUAGAUUGUGUGCACCCCUUUCCAAAUACCAUCCUUUCCCCCAAAGAUACAAUAUACUACCUUUGAUUCAGUUUCAAGAUCUACUCCCCUUCCCCCAUCGAAAAAGAGUAGAAUUGGAGUCCAGAUGAACUGUGCCUCUGAGAUCUCCCCAAUGUAACAGGCGGAUCCUCGACUGGACUGGACCAAAGGACUUCAUCUCUACGUUUGGUAGCUAUCUCUCUCUCUCUCUCUCUCUCUCCCCCUCUUUUCUCUCUCUUCCUCUAUCUUUUUCUCUCCCUUAAUUCCUCUAUUGUAUUUUGCUGUGGUCAUUCAAUAAAGGUGCAUUUGCUUUGAUUCUCACUGCAAA